rnacentral:rRNA from 1 species
AGGAGGCAGCAGUGAGGAAUAUUGGACAAUGGGCGCAAGCCUGAUCCAGCCAUGCCGCGUGAGUGAUGAAGGCCUUAGGGUUGUAAAGCUCUUUCAGUGGGGACGAUAAUGACGGUACCCACAGAAGAAGCCCCGGCUAACUUCGUGCCAGCAGCCGCGGUAAUACGAAGGGGGCUAGCGUUGUUCGGAUUUACUGGGCGUAAAGCGCACGUAGGCGGAUCGUUAAGUCGGGGGUGAAAUCCUGGAGCUCAACUCCAGAACUGCCUUCGAUACUGGCGAUCUUGAGUCCGGAAGAGGUGAGUGGAACUCCUAGUGUAGAGGUGGAAUUCGUAGAUAUUAGGAAGAACACCAGUGGCGAAGGCGGCUCACUGGUCCGGUACUGACGCUGAGGUGCGAAAGCGUGGGGAGCAAACAGGAUUAGAUACCCUUGUAGUCC